GUCUACAGGAAGAUGCUGGAUGAUGUUCUCUGUAAAUCUAUCCCUUUAUCCCUCCAUUCCCAUGUGUGGAUUCUCCAUUCCUGUGAUAAUUUCUGAAACCAACCUCUGCCUCUCCCCACCUUCAUUUUUGYCAGGUCUCACUACUGCUGGAUGCAGAUUUCCAGUAUGAAAUGUUCACUCCAUUGAAGGCAAUCAAUGUUUCAMUGCCAGUGGAUGUGAGACCAGGAUUUCAGACACAGAAUAUCAAUGGCAAGUUAUGUGGCUUGACACCUGAAGAAACUCUGAUGCAUCUGCUUCCCCUAUCAUCUUGAAACAGCAAGAAAGUAGUUGUCUUUUCAGCCACCAGACAAAUAAA